AGUGAACGCUGGCGGUAGGCCUAACACAUGCAAGUCGAACGGCAGCACAGUAAGAGCUUGCUCUUACGGGUGGCGAGUGGCGGACGGGUGAGGAAUACAUCGGAAUCUACUUUUUCGUGGGGGAUAACGUAGGGAAACUUACGCUAAUACCGCAUACGACCUACGGGUGAAAGCAGGGGAUCUUCGGACCUUGCGCGAUUGAAUGAGCCGAUGUCGGAUUAGCUAGUUGGCGGGGUAAAGGCCCACCAAGGCGACGAUCCGUAGCUGGUCUGAGAGGAUGAUCAGCCACAAUGGAACUGAGACACGGUCCAGACUCCUAAGGGAGGCAGCAGUGGGGAAUAUUGGACAAUGGGCGCAAGCCUGAUCCAGCCAUACCGCGUGGGUGAAGAAGGACUUCGGGUUGUAAAGCCCUUUUGGUGGGAAAGAAAAGCAGCAGGUUAAUAACCCGCUGUUCUGACGGUACCCAAAGAAUAAGCACCGGCUAACUUCGUG
rnacentral:rRNA from 1 species